rnacentral:rRNA from 1 species
GACGAACGCUGGCGGCGUGCUUAACACAUGCAAGUCGAACGGAAAGGCCCUGCUUUUGUGGGGUGCUCGAGUGGCGAACGGGUGAGUAACACGUGAGUAACCUGCCCUUGACUUUGGGAUAACUUCAGGAAACUGGGGCUAAUACCGGAUAGGAGCUCCUGCUGCAUGGUGGGGGUUGGAAAGUUUCGGCGGUUGGGGAUGGACUCGCGGCUUAUCAGCUUGUUGGUGGGGUAGUGGCUUACCAAGGCUUUGACGGGUAGCCGGCCUGAGAGGGUGACCGGCCACAUUGGGACUGGGAUGCGGCCCAGACUCCUACGGGAGGCAGCGGUGGGGAAGAUUGCACAAUGGGAGGAAGCCUGAUGCAGCAACGCCGCGUGCGGGAUGACGGCCUUCGGGUUGUAAACCGCUUUCGCAUGUGACGAAGCGUGAGUGACGGUAAUGGGUAAAGAAGCACCGGCUAACUACGUG